CCUUGUCUUCCCACUAGGGUUUUCUCUUCCCAUAGUUCUGUGGGGCUAUAAAUCAUGGGUCACACCCUGUCUUCUACAGGGUGGGUACUUGACCAGAGCUGGACAGUCAGUCCUCCUCAAGAGUGUCCCACUAGAGCCAGCUCCAAAGCCGGAGUCUCCUCCAUUGGAAUCACCAAGCUUCUUUUUAAAUGGCCCCUAGUGGUCAUCCCUUUCGAAAGCAGAAGAAAAUGAGGCCAGUUCUCAAGGAGGAGACAAACGAGGGUACAAGAACCAGCCAUCAAAGACAGAAGGAAGGUGUCAACAGACUGAAGAAAGGCUGACAAAUCUAGGAUUGUACAAGGUGCCAUUUGUUAGGGACUUAGAGACAGAAGCACAUCUUGGGCCACAGCAAGGCAGGAAGAUCCGCAACCCCAAAGCAGGAGGAAAGGGUUCACAAAGGUAGGCCUUGACCAGAAUGUACCUGGGCUUUCUCUGUUUACAUGUCAAAAUGCAGUUAAGAAACUGUCCAACGACAUGCUCUACCUUGACAGUACUUAACUUAUCCUAAAGGGUCUGAAAAGCUCGAUACCAAGAUGACCGUAAUCACAUCAACCUGGAUCCCUGUAGCGAGCAAAACACACCAUUGUUGGCUUUGAAGAUGGAGGGGCUACAAACCAAGGAUCACAGACAGCUUCUGGAAGUGGAGAACACCUCCGGCUGUCAGUCAGUGAGGGAGCAGGAACCUCCAUCCUACAACCACAGGGAGAACCAGAAGCAGGUUCUUCCCCGAGUCUCCCAAAAACCCAGACUGAUGACAUCUUCAUUCUGGCCUUGUGAGACCCUAAGCAAAGGACUCAGGAGCCCAGCUGGAACUUCUGACCAACAGAAUUGUGGGGUAAUAAACUGUAUUUUUUGAGCUGUUAAA